UACGGGGGGGGCAAGCGUUGUUCGGAAUUACUGGGCGUAAAGGGCUCGUAGGUGGCCAACUAAGUCAGACGUGAAAUCCCUCGGCUCAACUGAGGAACUGCACAGGAAACUGCUUGGCUUGAGUUCGGGAGAGGGAAGCGGAAUUCCGGGUGUAGCGGUGAAAUGCGUAGAUAUCUGGAGGAACACCGGUGGCGAAGGCGGCAUCCUGGACCAACACUGACGCUGAGGAGCGAAAGCCAGGGGAGCAAACGGG
rnacentral:rRNA from 1 species